rnacentral:lncRNA from 1 species
UAAUUUUUUGUGAUGGGCUAAGAUUCUUCGAUGAUGCUUCAUUUAUCCUCGAAUCAGUUUUCCUAUCUUUUAAAGUGGGGAAACAAACUGAAUUGUAAACAGCAUAAUAAUGCAAAGAGAGUGAAUCAAAAUACUAAAACUCAAAAGCUGUACUAAAAUUUAUUUUAAAAAAGAAAAAGAAGUAAUACCAGCAGAAAUCGAGUUGCCCUUAAACUUCCGUCGAUGCAUUGAGCCAUUUCUGUUAGUGACUAUCAUAUGUGUUACUUGAGAGCACAAAUUAGGCACAGGUUUUUGAUCUCCCUGAGGAUCCCCAAUGUUAACGGAAUUUCAAAGUUUCACCGGACCUGAAAACAUAAUCUAGCUUUACAAAUCCGCUAUCCAAAAAGCUUCUAACAAUCAUCAUACAGCACAGAUCGAAGUACAUGCUCACUCAUAUUCAAGUAAUAAAUAUAUGAAAACAGUAAAGCAAACGUGUGAGACAAUAUUUUUCUGCAUCUUAAUCAAACAGAUCAUAUAAAUUCCAAUGGAAAUUGAACAUAUAAUCAUUUCUUCAUCUAAUCAUGAUAGUCGUAUAAUUCAAAUUUCUCUAGAACAGAUGGAAUUAUCAGAAAUUACCUUGAUUCCUCUAGUAAAAUAAAUAGUUAAAGCUGAUUGUAAACCAGUCAAAGAACAAUCUAUAUGCAAAACUAAGAAUUUCAGAUAUCUCCAACUAGAAAAUUAUGCAUAAUCUCCCUCGAUGUAACUAUUAUGUUAACUGAGAGGGUAGAUAUUCAGAAAUUUCCGUGCAAAAAAACUAUUUCACUUGAAAUAAUAUUGCAAUACCGUGAAAUAGACUUCACCUCUUUCUGGAGCUCCGAUUUCAAAAUUGUAUGGUCGCAAAAGCUAAGAGCGAUGAAGAUUUCCACUGGCGGGAAUAUGGAAAUCUGUUGCUAUGCUAUGUUACUAGUUUUUUUUGUUAAUCCCACUAGAUGCCU